AGAACGAAGAAUGAAUCAAAUGUUGAUUGAAGAGGCAAAGCAAAAUGUAGAAGAAUUAAGUAUAAGAGCAAAACAUGGAAGCAACUUAAAUACACUUAAGGAGAAUGGUAAUCCUGACAUUUUUGGCAUCUGGCAUGAAACUGGAAACAUUCUGACAAAUUCUGGCCAAAUUCUCCAUACGGUCCUCUGUGCUGCACAGGCAAUGUCUUUGAACUCAGGCUUCCAUGGUUAGAAUCUGCAGCUGCUGACAGAUCUACUUGAAUCAACCUUUCUGUUUAAGAAAACGGCACUGAUCGAUCCCUACUCAAAACUGCAGGGGAUCCCUGGGUGGCUCAGUGGUUUGGCACCUGCCUUCGGCCCAGGCUGUGAUCCUGGA